UACGGAGGGGGCAAGCGUUACUCGGAAUUAUUGGGCGUAAAGGGCGCGUAGGCGGUCCCGUGCGUCGGAGGUGAAAUCCCCGGGCUCAACCCGGGAGCGGCCUCUGAUACGGCGGGACUGGAGUCCGGGAGAGGGGAGUGGAAUUCCCAGUGUAGCGGUGAAAUGCGUAGAUAUUGGGAGGAACACCGGUGGCGAAGGCGGCUCCCUGGACCGGUACUGACGCUGAGGCGCGAAAGCAUGGGGAGCAAACAGG
rnacentral:rRNA from 1 species